UUGUCUCAAAGAUUAAGCCAUGCAUGUCUCAGUACAAGCCAAAUUAAGGUGAAACCGCGAAAGGCUCAUUAAAUCAGUUAUGGUUCCUUAGAUCGUACCCACAAUAACUUGGAUAACUGUGGUAAUUCUAGAGCUAAUACAUGCAAACAGAGCUCCGACCGGAGACGGAAGGAGUGCUUUUAUUAGAUCAAAACCAAUCGGUGGCGGGUUCGCUCGUUAUCGUACAACUUGGUGACUCUGAAUAACUUUACGCUGAUCGCACGGUCAUCGCACCGGCGACGCAUCUUUCAAAUGUCUGCCUUAUCAACUGUCGAUGGUAGGUUCUGCGCCUACCAUGGUUGUAACGGGUAACGGGGAAUCAGGGUUCGAUUCCGGAGAGGGAGCCUGAGAAACGGCUACCACAUCCAAGGAAGGCAGCAGGCGCGCAAAUUACCCACUCCCGGCACGGGGAGGUAGUGACGAAAAAUAACGAUACGGGACUCAUCCGAGGCCCCGUAAUCGGAAUGAGUACACUCUAAACCCUUUAACGAGGAUCAAUUGGAGGGCAAGUCUGGUGCCAGCAGCCGCGG
rnacentral:rRNA from 1 species